rnacentral:lncRNA from 1 species
UUUGAUUUGUUUUAACUCUAACUUUCCUAGCUAGAUGAAUUAACAAUGGCUUUUGCAAUGGUGGUUUUACUUGUACCCGGUGGACCCCACUAGAGGAUUGAAGGUAGACGUUUGCGUUGAAUUGAUUAACGAAGAAUUGAGUUUGAUGAUAAGAGAUGAUCUUGUCUGACAACCUUGUCGAGUGUUCUGGGUCGGAGUCGUUCGAGCAAUGGUUC